rnacentral:piRNA from 1 species
UAUGAAGUCCAUGAGGCUUUUAAUAAAGGUC